AUCUGCUCCGGUCUGCUUUCAGAAGUGAUGGCCACACGGUGAAAAUGUUUUAUUUAAAUCAAUUUAAAAAACUAGUUUGCUUUAAGCUGAAACAGGAUUAACAACUGGAGGCUGUUUAGGUGAAUAUUGAUGAGAAAAUCAACCUGAAAGUAGUUUGAAGAGAAAUCAGGGAGUCGUGUCGGUUUUCCUCCAGCUGAGGACGAUUUGAAAAAGCUGAGAUUGAAACAGAAACCUGCAGAGAAACACGAUCUGUCUGAGACAGACAUCUGGCUGUCAGUCUCUCUGUCCUCGUCUGUUCUUCAGCUCCUGCUCAUAUCUCUGCAGCUGCGACAGGAAGCCGGGGUUCGGAUCGAUCUGGUGUCGAGCCGUCUUCACUCUCUGAGAACAAACAUAAUCCGACUCAUUGAAUGUGUUUUAAUGAACGUUAUUUUUGGAUUGUAACAGCAGUAACACAACACAAGGGUUUCAUGUUUUAGGACAGAAGGAUGCACAUCUGGGAUCAUGCUUUUUUGGUUUAUUUUAGUGAUUAACAAUCUGAACCCCAUCAGUCCAAAAGUAUGUCUUCUUUAAAAGAUCACUAAAACGUAUUGUUGGAGUUUGAACUUUCCAACGGUCCUUGAACGGAUCAUCAGUUCUGUUAUAAAAAGUGAGCAAAACUUGUGUUAAAAUGUUGAUAUUUGUGUCAGAAUCUCUUUAUUCUACAUGUGUCAUUUAAAAUAAAGCGUUUGCACUAACCAGAUCCUGUUAAAAACAUUAAAUUCUGCUCC